GCUGGAGAUCUCUGUGUACCUGUGCUCUUCUGAAGACAGGCAAUGGCUGUGAAUGGCCACAUCCCACUGGCCCAGUGGCCCGGCGGGGACGUUUGUCACCGUCUGCCGGAGCAGCGACACGGGGAGAGCGGAUGGGAAAUCAAUAUGGAGACUGCGAGCUGCGGGACUCAGGGACCUGCUGCGCCAGGACCUUUUAUUGAAUUUGUGAUCUUUCUCAUUGUUCCUCUGCUGUUUUGUAUCCCCUUCUUGUUUUUAUGGUGCAGAAUUGGAUUUGACUCGAUUUUCCUUCAUAUUGCACUGCAGCCAGCCUGGCGCGGCAGCACCACGAGUUCCAGCCCUGUGGUGAUGCCUUGGUCUCACCCUGGCACCUCCUGAGGUGAUGGGGUUAUUUGUGCUGGCAAAAAUUGGAUUAGAAGGCGAGAGAGCAAUCGGGGACUGCUGAAUUGCUAAGGCACUCUGUGCAGCAGGAUCUGCUGCAGUUGUCUUGGUCCUGAGCCACGGUAAUUGUAUUCUAUGAAAUAUUUAUUCAUUUUCAUUUCAAUUUCGUUUCCAACUUGUAUUUCCUAUAAAAUGAUGUGGAAGGGGAGGAAAAAAA